UACAGAGGGUGCGAGCGUUAAUCGGAGUUACUGGGCGUAAAGGGCGCGCAGGCGGUUAUACAAGUGAGGGGUGAAAUCCCCGGGCUUAACCCGGGAACUGCAUUUCAGACUGUAUGGCUGGAGUACUGUAGAGGGCAGUGGAAUUUCCGGUGUAGCGGUGAAAUGCGUAGAGAUCGGAAGGAACACCAGUGGCGAAGGCGGCUGUCUGGACAGAUACUGACGCUGAGGCGCGAAAGCGUGGGGAGCAAACAGG
rnacentral:rRNA from 1 species